rnacentral:lncRNA from 1 species
UUGCCUGUAAUAAAUAAAUUACGUGAUUAUUGGAGUACAUUGGGGUAAAAGUAAAGAACAGUGGAGUAUUGAGGAGCUUGAAAUGGAACAUUCAAUCUAAAGCCAAGCCUGAAGAUAACUUGAAUCAGUUGUAAAAGUGUGUUGGCAAUGUCCAAAAUUGAAUGAAAAACAUCUGGCUUAUAAGCAAUGUUAGAGAACUACCAUCUUAAGUAAAAUUGGUGUUUUUGUUAUUUUUAAGGUAAAUGCCAGUGCAAAAGGUAUGUUUUUCUACUUCACAUGGGUUUUCUUUUCCUGUUUACAUCUGGACUUGUUUUUUACUGAGAGCCAGAGGAAAAGAUAAUUAGACUUUGUCUCUUCCACCCAUGAAAUCCCUGCAGUACCCAGGGCUGCUUCUGAGCUACUGCUGAUGUGAUGUCACUUUGUAUUAGGAAAACCAGUUGGGGGUCCAUUUACUAUUAUUCUGUUGCCUACAAAAACAGCCAGGUGAAAGGUAAAUCUUGUGUGAGAGUUUGCGGAGGUUUUUCUAAACAAUAAAGUAAUACAGCACACUAGCCAAAUCCAUCCAAAAGGACUUUUUUUUUAAGGAAGUAGACUUGAAUUCACGAAACAGUCUUGACAUGGGUAGGUGGUGAAAGUCCUCUGGAGAGCAAGUGGAGCCAGUCCCCAUUGGCUGACAGUGCCACCUGGAGCUGGUCCCCGGGGUGUUUGGUUGUUUAUUCCUGAGGAGGACUAACUGCUGCUGCUGCUGCAAACUGGACUGUACACAUCAUGGCUGCUGGACACGAAGGAGGAGGUAAGAGAAGUUUCAUGCCACCAAAAUAGAGGGUGUUGGUACCACUGCCCCUGGUCUGAGAGUCAGGGUUUAAACCUGCCUCAGUAGAGACUAGUUUGAAAUGACACCAAAAUUCCCCAGCCCCUACUCAGCAAUUGGUUUUGGUUUCCAAAUGACUUCCGCAUUUGUAAAGAUAACAGAGUGGUGGGGUCAAAGUUUAUCUUGUGUUUAGAUCUCAAGACUGCUUAAGCAAAAACAAAAAUCCCUUGGAACUUAUCUUUUGAGCCUGUAAAGUUCUUUUAGCAGUUGUCAUAAAUGCAUAUGUUGUGAAAUCAGAACACUGUCGAGUUUAUACUCAUUUAGCUGCAAUGUGGGACAAUGAAAAAUGCUUUACAGGCCUUAAGUAUCAUUACUUAUGGUAUCUCCUGCUUUUAAAAUCUCAAGCAAUAUCUAUCUGGUUAAAUUCCAUUUUAGGAGAUUGAGAUGCAGAACGUUGAUGUUCAUUACCUCCUCCUACCCCAGGAGAAAUGGAUUCAGACAUGUCUUGUCUCAACAAGAAAUUGAUUUUUCUUUUUUUAACUAUGUCAUUCUGUUGCCAAAUAUCACAGAAGUAAUGAGGAGUUUAGUUACAUUUGGCUGUUGUGCUCUGAAAGAGCCAGGUUUGGAAUUUGUGGGGGUGAUCUAGGAAGAAGGUUCCAAAGAAGCAGAGGCAUUUGUCAAGUUACCUACCCUAUAUCCAGCAUCCUCCUCGUGAGCUUCAGUAGCUGCUCUUUGCCCACGCUUGUAUCCUACGUUUGCUAUUUGGGCAAACCAUUACUUCAGUUAUUUAACUUCCCUUUUUUUUUAACUUCACCUUUGACUGUGAACAAGUAACAUUAACAUUCCUUUUGUAUAUUCACUAAUGGCGUUAGUUUACCUAUUUUAUUUCAGAAUAUUUUGAACGAAGAUCUUUGUCUCUUUCUGCUGGAAUGCACACACAGUGAAUGUUUGUUAGAACUACACGCAAUAAAGACACUGUUUUCCUUU